AUCAAAGGGCAUGAGGACGUGAGUAUGAGAGAAGAGUUCACCAUGGCUCGAUGGUACCCAUCGGCGAGGGAGAAAACACUUUCCUCAACCGUCUGUGGGCAGUUUUCCGAGAGAAACUAUGGACAACAGAAUCCACAGAUGGGCAUCCAAAUGAGUAUGCAUUUCCCGACGGAGAAAAAACGUCGUAGGGUCCCAUGCUUGGAAAACAUAACAUGCACAGCAGAAUAUUUGGCAAUCUUUUGGGGCCCAUGCUUGUUCUUCCUUUCGCCAAGAUCCAAAGGACUUGGGAUGAUUCAACAGGUUAGUGUGAGAGCUGCAAGAAAGAAUUCACAAGUCUGCAAAUUGUCCGAAUGUAAAUGAUGGAAAGGGAGAAGGUCAUGAAGAGUGGAACUGAAGCAUAAGAAGGUCGAUGGCCAAGUCUACAUUCCAAGUGAUUGGAUUCAGAUCUGUGCUACACGUUACUUUUAUCAAGGAAAGCAUCUGUGCUUUACAUGACUUGAUCAAGGAAAGCGGUACCUGCACUUUUGAGCUCCCUCAUAAAGGCAUUGAGUCCUUCCUGUGCAGCCCAGUAUCACCCACACCAGUAAAUCGAAACCCCAACAUCAAAGACACAUUUGGUCCAGGUUUAAGAACCAACCGGAUCCAACCAAACCAAACCAGAGCAGACCGGACCAUUUUCUCCCCAUUUCCACCCUUCCCCAACACGGACCUGGAUCCUCAAAGGUUUUCCAGAGCUAAUGCUAAUAGCUUUUUGAAUGUGAAAGAGAAAAAUCAUUUUCUGAAUCGAGAAGAGAAGACAGUGGUGCCGGUGCCAGAACCGUCAGCGGGUUCAGGAUGAGCCAUAGAAGCCAAGAGAGGAGAGCUAUGAGGAUCAUAGAACCCUACUCAAGUCCUGGGAAUGGUAAGAAACCGAAGUUCUAGAGAUGGUGAUGGUGGGCUUAUUUGUCUAUGCCUUGAUUCUUCAAUGAUUCUUUUUUCCUACAGCUUUGAAUGAACCAAAAUGCAGUAAUUCAGAUGAUGGCCCUAUAGAAAGAGAAGAUAAGUUGCAGUAAUCAAGACGAUGGUCCCAGAGAAAGAGAAGAUAAGUCCCUAUGGGCAUUGCUGUUAUCUCGACCUUAAUAUUCUUCAAGAACCAUCUUGGGAAAAAAAUGUUGUUUUUCCUUUUUCAUUUUUUACUUAUUUCUGUAUAAUUCAAAUAUAUUUCUUUCUAGUCUAAAUAUUAUAUUGAGAAUCCAAUGUUGUAUAUCGAAGACCAAAAACUCACAUGGCUAAUUAACCUCAUUAUUGUAGUUUUA